rnacentral:sRNA from 1 species
GAGAAAUUGAAGAGGAAACGUGAGAAUGAAAGUGGAUGCCCGCGAAUCCCGGAAGUCAGGCUGUUUUUUUCAGUUCCCUGGAGGCUUUUUGAUACUGAUUCGCGUACACCUGUUGUUUGAAAGCUCUCAGCGGGACAAUGCUGACCCAGCUGAAAGCAAAAUCAGAGGGGAAGCUUGCAAAACAGAUUUGCAAAGUUGUGUUGGAUCAUUUUGAAAAACAGUAUUCCAAAGAACUCGGAGAUGCCUGGAAUACAGUAAGGGAGAUACUAACAUCUCCAUCAUGCUGGCAAUAUGCUGUCCUGCUUAACCGAUUCAAUUAUCCUUUUGAACUGGAAAAGGAUUUACAUUUGAAGGGCUAUCACACACUCUUUCAGGGAUCUUUACCCAACUAUCCUAAAUCAAUGAAGUGUUACCUUAGCAGAACUCCGGGCCGAAUCCCUUCAGAAAGACACCAAAUUGGAAACCUGAAAAAAUAUUAUCUCCUAAAUGCUGCUUCUCUUCUCCCAGUGUUGGCUCUGGAAUUAAGGGAUGGGGAGAAGGUUCUGGAUCUCUGUGCUGCUCCUGGAGGCAAAUCAAUAGCUCUGCUGCAGUGUGCUUGUCCAGGUAGUGUGCUUUCCUUUCAGUAUUUGACAACUUUUUAAUAUCUGUAUGUUAUAGAGAAUUUUGAAAGUAUAUAUGGGGAGAAACGUAAGACUGAGUUUGCAAACUCAGGAAGCCUGAAAACUGAGAUGCUAUGGAGAAGAAUGGAAAUUUUUGCUGAGGAAGUCAGUAUAAAUAACAUUUUUUUCAGCAAUUUAAUUCUAGCAGGUGAUUGGGAACAAAACUUCAACAUUUUGCAAAUACAAAUCUGUCAGAUAAUAUGAAUGCUGAUAAGCCUGAUAGGUAUUUUUUAUUGUUUACCUUUAUACUUGAGAGUCUUAUGUAGAUAUCCCUGUCAUACUUUUCUGCAACAAAAACAUAUACAUUUAAAAUAAUUUUUGAUGUCAAUAGACUAUAAGGUUCCAAGGCAAUUCUUUCCAGUAGAAAUAUAAUGUGAAGUAUAUAUAUACCCUUAAAUAUUUAAGUAGUUCCAUUUUAAAAAGUAGAAGCAGGUGAAAUUAAUUUGAAUAAUACAUUGAACCAAUACAUUCAAAAUAUUGUUUCAAUAUGUAAUCAAAAUAGAAAUAACAAGAUAUUUUACAUUCUCUUUUUUUUUUUACAGGUCUUUAAAAUUGGUUACGUUACAGUUACAUCACAUUUCAGUUGGGACUAGCCACAUUUCAGGUGUUCAUAGCCACAUGUGAGAAGAGGGUAUAGUAUUGGACAAUCCAAAAAGUCUUUUCAAGUGACUUUUUCAUUAAUAUUAUUAUUAGAACCAAAGUGGUACACAGGUUUACAAAUAUUUGUUAAAAGUAACAAGUCAACAUUUACAAUUUUUACAAUAUUUACAAAAUUUACAAUUUUUUUCUUAAUAAUUUUUCUUUUAAAGCUAAUUCUUUUUUUAAACAACUAAUACAGGCUUCCCCGAAUAAAUAUUACUUACUACUAGAAGAGGCA